AUGAACGCUGGCGGCGUGCCUAAUACAUGCAAGUCGAGCGAACAGACGAGGAGCUUGCUCCUCUGACGUUAGCGGCGGACGGGUGAGUAACACGUGGAUAACCUACCUAUAAGACUGGGAUAACUUCGGGAAACCGGAGCUAAUACCGGAUAAUAUAUUGAACCGCAUGGUUCAAUAGUGAAAGACGGUUUUGCUGUCACUUAUAGAUGGAUCCGCGCCGCAUUAGCUAGUUGGUAAGGUAACGGCUUACCAAGGCGACGAUGCGUAGCCGACCUGAGAGGGUGAUCGGCCACACUGGAACUGAGACACGGUCCAGACUCCUACGGGAGGCAGCAGUAGGGAAUCUUCCGCAAUGGGCGAAAGCCUGACGGAGCAACGCCGCGUGAGUGAUGAAGGUCUUCGGAUCGUAAAACUCUGUUAUUAGGGAAGAACAAAUGUGUAAGUAACUAUGCACGUCUUGACGGUACCAAAUCAGAAAGCCACGGCUAACUACGUG
rnacentral:rRNA from 1 species